rnacentral:rRNA from 1 species
CAGCAGCCGCGGGAAUACGUAGGGGGCAAGCGUUGUCCGGAAUUAUUGGGCGUAAAGGGCUCGCAGGCGGUUUCUUAAGUCUGAUGUGAAAGCCCCCGGCUCAACCGGGGAGAGUCAUUGGAAACUGGGAAACUUGAGUGCAGAAGAGGAGAGUGGAAUUCCACGUGUAGCGGUGAAAUGCGUAGAGAUGUGGAGGAACACCAGUGGCGAAGGCGACUCUCUGGUCUGUAACUGACGCUGAGGAGCGAAAGCGUGGGGAGCGAACAGGAUUAGAUACCCCAGUAGUCCCUGUCUCUUAUAC